rnacentral:rRNA from 1 species
UACGUAGGGGGCAAGCGUUGUCCGGAUUUAUUGGGCGUAAAGAGCGUGUAGGCGGCCAUACAGGUCCGUUGUGAAAACUGGAGGCUUAACCUCCAGACGUCGAUGGAAACCGUAUGGCUAGAGUCCGGAAGAGGAGACUGGAAUUCCUGGAUGUAGCGGUGAAUGACGCAGAUAUCAGGAGGAACACCGGUGGCGAAGGCGGGUCUCUGGGCCGUAACUGACGCUGGAGGAGCGGAAAGCAUGGGGAGCGAACAGG